GACGAACGCUGGCGGCGUGCUUAACACAUGCAAGUCGAACGGGAUGAUUUAGAAGCUUGCUUUUAGAGAAUCUAGUGGCAAACGGGUGAGUAACACGUAGGCAACCUGCCGACAGGAUGGGGACAACAUUCCGAAAGGAAUGCUAAUACCGAAUGAAGCGCAGGAGAGGCAUCUCUCCUGCGUGAAAGAUGGCCUCUAUUUAUAAGCUAUCACCUGUCGAUGGGCCUGCGUCUGAUUAGCUGGUUGGUGAGGUAACGGCUCACCAAGGCGACGAUCAGUAGCCGGUCUGAGAGGAUGAACGGCCACAUUGGGACUGAGACACGGCCCAGACUCCUACGGGAGGCAGCAGUGGGGAAUCUUCCGCAAUGGGCGCAAGCCUGACGGAGCAACGCCGCGUGAGUGAAGAAGGUCUUCGGAUCGUAAAGCUCUGUUGAUGGGGACGAACGUGCGAAGGGUGAAUAAACCUUUGUAAUGACGGUACCUGUCGAGGAAGCCACGGCUAACUACGU
rnacentral:rRNA from 1 species